UGAAGCGUCAAGCCAGGCUGCUGUUCAGAAGGAAGCUUUAGGAUUGCAAACUAAAGCCAAAACCAAGGAAUCUGAAUUUGAAAAACUAAUAAAUUCAGCAUCAGCAGGUGACAUUACUAAAGCUGCAGAAGCUGCGCUAAAGUUGGAGCGGGAAAGAUUAAAAAAGUUGGAAGACUUGGAUGAAGGAAACAAGGCAUUAGGAUUGAAUGUAAAUAAGGAUUAUGUUCGCCAUGAAAGAAAUAUCUCUAAAUUGAUACGGCAGAUUAUAGGAACUAAUGAUGUUGUCAAACAAAAAGCAGCAGAACUUGUCAAGAUCCUCAAAAAUCCUGCUUACCCUCAAUCUAUCAGUGCUGGAGCAUUUGCUAGAAAGGU